rnacentral:lncRNA from 1 species
UUUUUUUUUUUCCCAUAAAUCUCAAGAAUAUACAUAGAAUAAAAACUGAUAAUUGAUUAUUGCGUACAAUUCUUUUGAAAUAUGUGUCCCUCCACAAAAUAUAUGUACAUUCAAACAAAAUCCUUAGGCCUCAACAAAAAUUGCCAACAAAAGAAAAAGAGAAGCCAAAAUUUGGCCACAAACAUACAAGUUCCUUCAUGUAAGGAACCCUGCCCAUUCGUCGCAUCUUUUAUCUCGUUGCUAUGAUUAAGUUUUCUACAAAAUACUUAUUAAAAGAAAAAGAAAAAAAAAAGAAAGGAAAAGACAAACAAUUGCUUUGCAAUACAUCCACUAUUUGCAACUCAAAAUCAGUAACUGUAAAAUGUCUUGCUAGAAUCCUGUAUCUUUAUCCACGGCAAAUUGUGGGUUGGGAGAACAUCAACCAGAUGAAACAAGACAAUAUGCAACACAGACUGUCUUCACAAACACAUUGGUGCCUUAUGGAGCAAAAUUUACACCAUUCUUCUGUGGAUUUCCAUCCUGACCAAUGUAGACAUGGAAACAUUAAGCAAUUGAACAAAUAGAGGAAGAACAAUUGAAGAAACAUGAUUAGAGACUACUGGAAAUUACUAGAAAAUUACUCCAUGAUAGAGUUAUUUCCAAGUAAUUUCAAGGAAAAAACUGAAAAAUUAAGGCCAAAAUGCCCUAGAUAUCUAUCAAGAACCAAAUAUUUACGAAUAAUUAUAAGGACCAUUAAGUAUAAAAAUCAAAACUUAUGUCCUCCAUACCAAAUAUCCCAAUAAACCAUGAGCUGAAUAUUUCUUUAAAAUGAAAAAUAAAAUAAAAGUAAACAAAACAAAUUAAGCUCAAAAGGAAAAUUUCACAAGUUAAGUUAAGAAAGACUUGUUGGGCAUUUUACCAAACACAUGAGAUGCAAUGGUUGAGGAAUGUAAUGCAAAGAAAUCCAUGAAACCUAGAGAGAGAAGGUGGAAGAAAACCAAGAGGGAGAGAGAGACAUAGCAUGUGAACGGAGAGAGAGUGGAAAACCUUGAGAGAGAUUGAGAUCGAGUUGGUGUGAGGUGGACAAUGGGAAGUAGACAGAGAGCAGAACAGGGCAGGGAGAGAUGUGAGGAACAAAGAGGGCAAACAUAGAUAGACCAUGAAACCUAGAGAGAUGGGUAAAAUGAGAGAGAAAGGGACCGUGUGAAGGGCGAGACUGUGGGAAACCAAGAGAAAGAGACUGUCAAAGGGGAGAGAGCUGAAAACCUAGAGAGAGACCGUGAAACCUAGAGAGAGGGUGCUAGAGAGAGAAAGCUAAAGGCAAUUGUAGAUAGAAAGGUAGAUAGAGAAAUUGUGAAGGGGGAGAAGGUGGGAGAGAGAGAGUUACAUUGUGAAGUGGUAGAGAGACCUUGAAACCUUGAGAGAGAGAGAGAGAGAGACCAUGUGAAAUGGGAAAGAGCUAGAAACCUGAAGGGAGACCUUAAAACAACCUAGAGAGUGGGUGCUAGAGAGAGAAACUGCAGAGAGGGGAAGCUAGAUAGAGACCCGUGAAAGAAAGCGGGAGAGAGGGCCUGCUUCAAUUGGGAGAGAGUGAGAGAAAACGACCUCUACAACUUCUGUAAUUGUGGUAGGGUUUGGAGUGGAGAGUUUCACACAGAAGAGAAGAGAAGAGGGCAGGGCGGGAGAGUUCUUCAUUUUAAAGAGAGAGAGAGAGAGAGAGAGAGAGAGAGAGANN